AUGAAGGCCUGUCCUGCAGACCUCAGAACCCCACAUCUCCUAUCCAAUAACCCCAGGCCACGUCCUCCUCGCCAGGAAUUGACACAACAAAGACACGCCCUUGGCGGCCUGAAGACGCAUUCAUGUGCAGACUCCAGGAGCCUGCAGCACUGCAGCACCACCAGAGGGAGGCGCUUAGCUGUUGUUGUUCCCUGUGUACCAGUGCCAGUCUCCCCCUCUCCCAGCAGAGCCUCCCCUGAGCUCUCAGUCUGUCCAAGUCCAACAUCCUCUACUGUCACUGACUCUGGGCAGCAGGGGACUGGAUACAACCCUGCUCCAUCAUCAGCCCUACCUCAUGGCCAUACUCAGAAAGGAGAGAAGGAAACAGAGGAUGGUGUUAAAGAGAUGGAUGAAGGCACUUCGGCUUCCUCAGGGGCCUUCCGCCCUCCAAGGCCAGACCAGGAGCCCAAUUCUGGUCCUGAGGACAUAGACCCCUCAGUUUCUCCAAUCCCUAGUGUCUGUGAGGGUUCUCUCUCAGACUUUAGCCGCCCACCAUCCAGCCAGUUCAGCCGAAGCACAGACCUGGGUAGUGGCCGGAGCAGUCCUCUAUGUGCGAAUCUGAGUGACCUGGACUCAGAGGGUGGCUCUCCUCUCUCCCAGCAUGGCUCCUCUUCCAUGUCCCUGUCUGCUCUGGCCUCCUGCACCCCACAGGACCCCCCAGCACACCAGCCCCCAAACCCAGCCCCUCACCACCCUCAAUACCAUCCCCUCCCUCACCAGGCCCAACACUGCCCACCUGACUGGACCACCACGGAGCCCCAGCCAGGCCAUGUCCUCCCACCCUACCCAGACCCAUCCCUGGACCCCAACCUAGACCCUACAACCCUAGCUUUCCCCUCAGACACCUGGCAGUCCUGCCCCAGCCCACAGUGCAAGAUAACUACCCGACCAGGGUCAGGGUUAGGGUCAGGUUUGACCUCAUCCCCUGUGGUGGUGGAGAGGCAGGACUGGACAUCACACCGCUGGUCCGUCCUUCCCCCCAUCUCUCCAGUCAGAGGUGGCAGUGACACAGUGUCCUCCUGGUCCCGCUGUUCUCAGGUCAGCUCUAGCCAGUCCCAUGUGUUUGAUGAACUGGAGGCCAUCGCCCCGCGGACCGGCUCCUGUCUGUCCCUAGACCAGCCACUCAGCCCAGCAGACUGCAGCCCACCUGAGAUGUCCCCAGGCCUGGCUGCUCUGACAGUGGGCUGUGACUCAGGGGACCUGGGCUCCCUGUCCCGUGUGCAGCUCCUGCUCCUGGACCGGUCGGACCCUGUGGAGCCCCACUGGCUCGCUGGUCAGGACAUGUACUCCCCAACAGAAGACGGAACAACAGGCCACACAGCGGCGCUCCGAGCCAGAAGACCUCUGAGUCCAACGCUGUAUACUACAGGCCCCAGCCCAGACCAGGGGGUUCCAGUGAAGGAGGAGCCUGGUUGCCCUGAUUGGGGGGAGCGAGGCUGGGCUUCCACAGGGGCCAGGAGAAGGCCAGGGAGGCUGGAGCGCAGGAUUAGGGAGAAGGAGCGAAAAAGGGAGGAGAGAAAGACAAAGGUGCUAAACAUCUACUCCAGACUCCAGGACAGCGGGCCCCUCCAGCCCAGCCGCAACAGGGGCCGCUCCAGGUUUGAGGACUUCGACUUCUUGGCAAAGUAUUGCAUUUUCAGCCAGGAGAAGCUGGCAGAAUACAAAAGGGCUUUUGAAGCGGUUGACAGUGAUGCUGAUGGUUACAUUUCCUGCCUGCAAGUGCUGCUGGCACUAAAGAAGAUCAUCCCUCCAGAGCUGCUAACUGAUGAAGAAGAGAUAUAUGUCUACAGGAUCCUGGAGAUGGUGGAUUUCAGGGUGACAGAUGGACUUACAGACCUGAGGCUCUUUGCUGUGAUUGCGAGCCUGGCGCAGAAAAUAGCUACCAUGGAUGUAUUUAUGCGUUCCCUGAUAAGCAAAAUGGACUUCCAUUCUUUGGCAUUAAAGCUAUACAAAGCAAAGCAGCUGUUCAUGUUCCUGCUGGAGGGGCAGUCAGGGGGCGCUGUGGCCCAGCAGGGCUGUAUCAGCGCAGAGCAGCUCCUAGUGGAGCUCAAGGCCGGGGGCAUCCGACCAGAACAAGAGGAAGCCAUCAAACAGGAGCUCCGACACAUCAGCUCCCUGGACCUGCUGGACUUCCUGGCGUACCUGCCCCUCUUCGUCCUAAUCCACAACUCAGUCAUCGCCAACCCACUGGAUGACUCCAGCAACCUGUGA
rnacentral:lncRNA from 1 species